UACGAAGGGGGCUAGCGUUGUUCGGAAUUACUGGGCGUAAAGGGCGCGUAGGCGGCUGUCCAAGUCAGAUGUGAAAGCCCCGGGCUCAACCUGGGAAUGGCAUUGGAAACUGGCGAGCUUGAGUGUGGCAGAGGGGGGUGGAAUUCCGCGUGUAGCAGUGAAAUGCGUAGAGAUGCGGAGGAACACCGAUGGCGAAGGCAGCCCCCUGGGCUGACACUGACGCUCAGGCACGAAAGCGUGGGGAGCAAACAGG
rnacentral:rRNA from 1 species